GACGAACGCUGGCGGCGUGCUUAACACAUGCAAGUCGAACGGAAAGGCCCUGCUUUUGUGGGGUUCUCGAGUGGCGAACGGGUGAGUAACACGUGAGUAACCUGCCCUUGACUUUGGGAUAACUUCAGGAAACUGGGGCUAAUACCGGAUAUGAGCUCCUGCUGCAUGGUGUGGGUUGGAAAGUUUCGGCGGUUGGGGCUGGACUCGCGGCUUAUCCGCUUGUUUGUGGGGUAGUGGCUUACCAAGGCUUUGACGGGUAGCCGGCCUGAGAGGGUGACCGGCCACAUUGGGACUGAGAUACGGCCCAGACUCCUACGGGAGGCAGCAGUGGGGAAUAUUGCACAAUGGGCGGAAGUCUGAUGCAGCAACGCCGCGUGCGGGAUGACGGCCUUCGGGUUGUAAACCGCUUUCGCCUGUGACGAAGCGUGAGCGACGGUAAUGGGUAAAGAAGCACCGGCUAACUACGUG
rnacentral:rRNA from 1 species